rnacentral:rRNA from 1 species
AGAGUUUGAUCCUGGCUCAGGACGAACGCUGGCGGCGUGCUUAACACAUGCAAGUCGAGCGGUAAGGCCUUUCGGGGUACACGAGCGGCGAACGGGUGAGUAACACGUGGGUGAUCUGCCCUGCACUUCGGGAUAAGCCUGGGAAACUGGGUCUAAUACCGGAUAUGACCUCCUAUCGCAUGGUGGGUGGUGGAAAGAUUUAUCGGUGCAGGAUGGGCCCGCGGCCUAUCAGCUUGUUGGUGGGGUAAUGGCCUACCAAGGCGACGACGGGUAGCCGACCUGAGAGGGUGACCGGCCACACUGGGACUGAGACACGGCCCAGACUCCUACGGGAGGCAGCAGUGGGGAAUAUUGCACAAUGGGCGAAAGCCUGAUGCAGCGACGCCGCGUGAGGGAUGACGGCCUUCGGGUUGUAAACCUCUUUCAGCAGGGACGAAGCGCAAGUGACGGUACCUGCAGAAGAAGCACCGGCUAACUACGUGCCAGCAGCCGCGGUAAUACGUAGGGUGCAAGCGUUGUCCGGAAUUACUGGGCGUAAAGAGUUCGUAGGCGGUUUGUCGCGUCGUUUGUGAAAACCAGCAGCUCAACUGCUGGCUUGCAGGCGAUACGGGCAGACUUGAGUACUGCAGGGGAGACUGGAAUUCCUGGUGUAGCGGUGAAAUGCGCAGAUAUC